ensembl:lncRNA
GUCUUAAGUGUUUGAGAGUGUUAAGUGUGCAGUGUGUUAGGUGUUGAGUGUGUGAAGUGUAGAGUGUAUUAAGUGUGCAGUUAAGUGUGCAGCAAAGUGUGCAGCAAAGUGUGCAGUGUGUUAGGUGUGCAGUGUGGUAGGUUGCAGAGUGUCAGGUGUGCAGAGUGUCAGGUGUGCAGAGUGUCAGGUGUGCAGACUGUUAAGUGUGCAGAGUGUUAAGUGUGCAGAGUGUUAGGUGUGCAGUGUGUUAAGUGUACAGAGUGUCAGGUGUGCAGAGUGUUAGGUGUGCAGUGUGUUAAGU